AGAGAGAGCGCGUCCGUUAGUCUAUGAGAUGCUGUAAGGUGAUUAUUGUAUCGGAGGCUCUGGAUGUAGGACCGUCUCAAAGAUGUCAUGGUGCCCUCCGUACCGUAGUUCUAAAUUCCGUCACGUCUACGUAAGGCCUCCACCAAAGACCACGGUUACCACGGAAUUCCGAUCACGCACAGCGUCCAUGACACCACUACUGCUCCGUCAACCCACUCUUCAUUGCCAUAGUAACGAAUGCUCGGGGGCGGUGCUUUCUUGGUCCUCUCCAUCCAUCACACUGGUAAAGUAGACCCCCAACACCCCAGGGUGUGUGGUCACAGUGCCAGGGUGUUGGAUGUCAAGUGGAAUCCCUUUGAUGACCACUGCAUCGCCUCCUGCUCU